AUGUUCAAAGAACUUCUAACCGGGCUAAGACUCAAAAGAGACAUGCACAAGAAGUGGAAAGGGGGAAAAAUCACCAAAGAAGAAUUCAAACGUAUAGCUAACUCCUGUAGGGAAAAGGUUCGCAAGGCUAAAGCACAAAAAGAGCUCAGGCUUGCCAGGGAUAUUAAAAACAAGAAAAAAGGCUUUUUUGCUUAUGUCGGUAGAAAAAGCAAGAACAAGGAGGUGAUAGGGCCUCUGCGAGGAGAAGAUGGGGCGAUGGUGACAAGGGACAAGGAAAAGGCAGAACUACUUAAUGCCUUCUUUGCCUCGGUCUUCUCACAAAAAGAAAGCCAUCUUCAACCUCAGCAACAUGGAAUGUACAACGGAUUAGGGGAAAUCCAACCCCAAAUAGGGAAACAAGUUGUCCAGGAACACCUGGCCUCUCUAAACGAAUUCAAGUCCCCAGGGCCAGAUCAGCUACAUCCAAGAAUAUUGAAGGAACUAGCUGAGGUUAUUUCAGAACCACUGGCAAUUAUCUUUGAGAGUUCUAGGAGAAUGGGAGAAGUCCCAGCCGAUUGGAGGAGGGGAAAUGUGGUCCCUAUCUUCAAGAAGGGAAAAAAGAACAACCCAAACAAUUACCGUCGGGUCAGCCUCACGUCGAUACCAGGCAAGAUUCUGGAAAAGAUCAUUAAGGAAGUGGUCUGCGAACAUUCAGAAACAAAUGGAGUCGUUGCUAAUAGUCAACAUAGAUUUACCAAAAACAAGUCAUGCCAGACUAAUCUGAUCUCUUUUUUCGACAGAGUUACAAGUCGGGUCGAUACAGGGAACGGCAUAGAUGUAGUGUACCUGGAUUUCAGAAAGGCCUUCGACAAAGUCCCCCACGACCUUCUGGCAAACAAACUAGUAAAAUGUGGGCUAGACAAAAUGAUGGUUAGAUGGAUCUGUAAUUGGCUAAGCGAACAAACCCAAAGGGUGCUCACCAAUGCGUCUUCUUCAUCUUAUAAUAUAAAUAAUAAUAAUAACUUUAUUUUUAUUUUUAUACCCCGCCCCAUCUCCCCGAAGGGACUCGGGGCGGCUUACAUGGGGCCAGGCCCGAUAAAACAAACAAAUAACAGUAACAAAGCAAUAAAACAAUUAUCCCAGUAA
rnacentral:lncRNA from 1 species